rnacentral:lncRNA from 10 species
UAUCUAUAUACUAAUAGCUCUGUUUCUUUGGAGAAAACUAAUACAAUACCAACAAAAUAAUUCAUGACAUUCAGAAUACACAAUUAAAAUGAAGUGAAGAAACUUGUCCCUAAAGAGUACUUGCCUGUUAAGAAACAUCUCAUUUUAAUUAUGUAGUAAUGGAGAUGGGGAUCACCUUCUUGUUUUGUUUUGAGAUGAGUCUCACUAUGUUGCCCAGGUUGGACUCAAAUUCCUAGGUCAAGAGAUCUUCCACCUUGGCCUCCUGAGUGGCUGGGACUACAGGAGAUCACCUUUUCAAAGCUGAAUAUCAAAGUCAGAAAAUCAACUAAAUGAAAGGCUGGAAUGCAAUGGCGUGAUUAUAGCUCAAUGCAUCUUCAUCUCCCUGGGCUCAAGCAAUCUUCCAAGCUCAGCCUCCCAAGUAGCUGGAACUACAGUUCAACAUGGCUGCCAUAAACUGGAUAUUGAUAUCUAUGAGGUUCUCCUCUGUCCCAGGACAGGUCCAGAAAUGUCAUCAAGGAGCGAAGACGCCAGUGUGGCUGAGCUGUUAACCCAAGCUCAAGAGAAAGUUUCCUUUACUCUUCUCUCUCCUUUGCCCAAGUGGAAGGGGUCUCUUCCCAUAGGCACCGCAGCUGGCUAUGUGCUGGUUCACACUUGAAGUCAGCAUGGUUUUGAGUGUCACCCAAGGCCCACAGUGAAUACUGCCCAGCUACCAUUGCUGCUUGUUGAGGGUCCAAGGGCACUUUAGUUAGCUCAUGAUGAAUUCUGCAAAAAUUGGGUCCUUUCCUUGAAGGCAGUGAGUUCCAUUCUGGCCCAGGAUGUAUUUCAAAAUGUCCUCCAGGAUUUAUUUUUAGAGCAGUUUUAGGUUUACAGCAAAAGUGAGCAGAAGGUUCAGGGAUUUGCAGUAUAGCCCCCGCCUGUCCCACACGUGCAUGCACGGCCUCUCCCACCACCUACAUCCAGUGCCACAGUGGUACAUUUAUUACAUUGACAAUACAUCAUCAUCACCAAAUACCAUAGUUUACAUUAGGCUUCACUCUUGACGUUGUACAUUCUAUGUGUUUGGAAUGACAUGUAUCCACCAUCAUAGUAUCAUACAGAAUAGUUCCACUGUCCUAAAAAUCUCUGUAAUCCACCAAGUCAGCCUUCCCUUUCCAUUAACACUAGGCAACCAUUGAUCUGUAUAUGGUCUCCAUAGUUUUGCCUUUUUCAGAAUGACCCUAUAGUUGAAAUCAUAUAUUAUGUAGCUUUUUCAGGUUGGCUUUUUUCACUUAAUAAUAUAUAUUUAAGGAUUGUUUGUCUUUUCAUGGAUUGAUAGGGCAUUUCUAUUUAAUGCUGAAAAAAUAUUCUGUAGUUUAAAGGUACGACAAUUUAUUUUACUAUUCACUUACUGAAGGACGUCUUGGCUGCUUCCAAGUUUUGACAACCAUGAAUAAAGCUGCUAUAAACAUCAAUGUACAGGUUUUUGUGUGAACAUAAGUUUUGAACUCAUUUAGGUAAAUUCCAAGAGGUACAAUUCAUGGGCCAUAUGCUAAGAGUAUCUUCAGCUUUCGAAGAAACUGCCGAACUGUCUUCCGAAGUGGCUACACAAUUUGCAUUUCCACCAACAUUGUGUAAUAGUUCUUGUUCCACAUCCUUGCCAGCAUUUGGUGUUUCCAGUGUUUUGCAUUUUGGUGAUCCUAACAGAAAAAAAAUCAUUUUGAAUUUCAAAUCUACAAACGGUCAAAAUAUCAUCCAAACAGGAAAAAAUAAAAUUAUGCUCAAUGAUUUAAAUACUGAAGAAUUUUAACACUUGUAGAACACAUCUGAAAGAAAACAAAAUAAAAUCAGUCAGCAAAAUAAAACUAAAUCCACAAAGUAAUAUGUAGGAUACAAGAAAGGAGUCAUAAAAAAGAAUUCAAUAAUAUAUAUAGGCAGAGGAGUCCCUCCCUGUGUCCACCACCAUCACAAGCCCAGGGCAAGUACUGCUAGAGGGCUGCCUAUGAUCAGAUCUUCUGAGAACAUCAGAGAAAGACUGUCCUUGCAAUCUACACUACAGCAAGACUUCAGGACCUUGAACUUCAGGUUCAUAAUCUCACAACUGAGAAGGAUCCUUCCACACUCUUGGAACAGUGCACCCAUUGGAACUCUGAAGGUUAAGCUCACCAGGAAAGUUUCUCUCCAGAAGAAGAUAACACCCUUAAUGUGAACAGCUUUUCCCAAAAUCACGGAUUGAAACUUCUCUACACUCACGAGACUCUUAUCUUUGAAUAUUUUCCCUUGGUUAUGCUUCUGUGAACAAUAGACGUGAAAAGGGAGUCUGUUGUGUGCACUUAUGGGGCACACUUUUAUGUGUGAAGGAUUUUUCAGCCAGCCUUAUAUAUGGAUGACCUUAUAGUUUAAGAGAUAAAAGACAAAGACCCAAUGCAGACUAACAAAAUGAUAUUUGUGUCCAGAACCAGUUAAAGAGCUGUGGCAGUUCUAAGGAAAGGAGAAUGGUUUGAAAAUGGUAAUGAGGAGAAAGAAUGACACUGACACCAGCUCCAGGUCCCGUGGAAUGAAAUCUAUGGUA